CAGUCGAACGAGAGAUGAGGAGCUUGCUCUUCAAAUCGAGUGGCGAACGGCUGAGUAACGCGUGAGGAACCUGCCUCAAAGAGGGGGACAACAGUUGGAAACGACUGCUAAUACCGCAUAAGCCCACGGCUCGGCAUCGAGCAGAGGGAAAAGGAGCAAUCCGCUUUGAGAUGGCCUCGCGUCCGAUUAGCUAGUUGGUGAGGUAAUGGCCCACCAAGGCGACGAUCGGUAGCCGGACUGAGAGGUUGAACGGCCACAUUGGGACUGAGACACGGCCCAGACUCCUACGGGAGGCAGCAGUGGGGAAUAUUGCACAAUGGGGGAAACCCUGAUGCAGCGACGCCGCGUGGAGGAAGAAGGUCUUCGGAUUGUAAACUCCUGUUGUUGAGGAAGAUAAUGACGGUACUCAACAAGGAAGUGACGGCUAACUACGUGCCAGCAGCCGCGGUAAAACGUAGGUCACAAGCGUUGUCCGGAAUUACUGGGCGUAAAGGGAGCGCAGGCGGGAGAACAAGUUGGAAGUGAAAUCCAUGGGCUCAACCCAUGAACUGCUUUCAAAACUGUUUUUCUUGAGUAGUGCAGAGGUAGGCGGAAUUCCCGGUGUAGCGGUGGAAUGCGUAGAUAUCGGGAGGAACACCAGUGGCGAAGGCGGCCUGCUGGGCACCAACUGACG
rnacentral:rRNA from 1 species